rnacentral:lncRNA from 1 species
UUAAGAAUUGAAAAGUAUAAUUAGAUACGCCUAAUUUAGUGAGAUACACCGGUCACAAUGGUUAACAAAACAUACCACUAUUAUGUAAUUACAAGUAAUUACAAACAGAUCCAAUUAUUAAGUGACUUUUUAAAUACUAUCUAAAUACAUUAUGAACACUACCUUAAAUAAAGCUAUAGGAAAACUCUAUAAAAAUAAAAGCUAAAAUAAUAGUCAAAGCCAUUUCCAGAAAUAGCCAUCAUAUUUCCUUCUCUCAAGCUCUAUAAAAUUACUAAAUAAACAAAUUAAAAAAAACUAUCAUCUUUGUAGUCAACCAAUUUUGCCCGGGCCCUUUUAAAGUAUUAAAAUAAGCCCAACAAAUAAGUCCAGGUAAAUUGAACACACACAAAUAAAGAAUCCAAAUUCAGAAAUCCAAUGUCCGGUUACAAAUAUUAGGGCCAAAAAUAACUUAAACCCAAAAUCCUUUAAUAUAGACUUAACCCAAUCCUUAGUUCGAACAGCCCAAACCCGAGGCCUAAUACACCCAAAACGAAACACAGCAGUCGAGAGCACCAGAAGCUUCUGGAAUACAAGAGAGUUGGGCUCCCAUGAGAGGCUCCUCGCAUGGCCUCCUUUGCGCGUCUCCUUUCUCCUCCGUACGGCCAUCCCUGCGUUAGAAUACACGAGAAGAGGCCAGCUAACAAAAUACAACAAAUGACAGCAAUAAAAAUGUAUUUUUAUUUAUUAUUUAUUUUACUCUGUAAAUUUGGCUAUAAAACCAAUGAUUGUACCUGCAAAAGGGAUUACGAAUAUACUACGCACACCAGAUAUAAAAAAUAGAGCAUUUCACAAGCAUUUUUUUAGGUGUGAUUUUCUGUUUAAUAGUUGCUUUUAAAUUUCGGCCAAAUGACUUCAUUUUUAUCUUUCAUUAUUGUAUUAAAAAAAUAAUAGAAAGAAAGAGAGAAGAAAUCUCACCUUAUGGAUCGGCCAUUGAUCCUCUCUUUGCUUCGUCAGACUUGAAGUGGAAAAAGAGGUCUUAAGGCCGAAAAUUAUCAUCAAAAGGCCACAUUUGUCGGUUGUUGUUUUUAAGGGAAGAUCGGCGUUGGUGUUAAAAGGGGAAUCAAACGGCGCCAUCCAUCAAUUGUAAUGUUAAAAGCGGCAGCCGAAUAUGAGCAAACACUUAGGGUUUUUUUCCCCCCUUUUCAAUCUGCUCUGCUGAAAUAAGCUCUUAGAAGCUGUUUUUUUUUUUUUGCUUUUAGUUGGCACCGUGAGACGACGACGUUUAAGGCAUGGAUUUGUAGCCUUGAAAUGACGCCGUUUAAGCUUGCCCCACCCGAUCCGAUUCCUUUACCCCUGGGAUCCGCGUAUUUUUGUGGAGAGGGAUAAUUGCGCAAUUGAUCCUUCUUGUUUCGCGCUACUAUUCAAUUACAAGCUAUUUGCUUAUUUCUUUUUUAAUUUGGCUUGGUAAUUUGAGUGCAUUUGCAAUUGGAUCCAUGCUUCAGCUGAAUGUUUUUGGAGAUCUGGAAUAUUUCCAGCUUUAACCCAUAUACGUUUGCACGCAUUGCAUGGGGGUCCUUAUUUUAAUAGUAGUAGUUUGUUUUAUUUAUAAAUUAUCCCUUUAUUUUAUAA